rnacentral:rRNA from 1 species
GUGUCAGCCGCCGCGGUAAUACAGAGGUCCCAAGCGUUGUUCGGAUUCACUGGGCGUAAAGGGUGCGUAGGUGGUCGGGUAAGUCCGAUGUGAAAUCCCGGAGCUCAACUCUGGAACUGCAUUGGAUACUAUCUGACUAGAGGGUUGGAGGGGGGACUGGAAUUCUCGGUGUAGCAGUGAAAUGCGUAGAUAUCGAGAGGAACACCGGUGGCGAAGGCGAGUCCCUGGACAACUCCUGACGCUGAGGCACGAAAGCUAGGGGAGCAAACAGGAUUAGAUACCCUCGUAGUCC